rnacentral:rRNA from 1 species
AUUGAACGCUGGCGGCAGGCUUAACACAUGCAAGUCGAACGAGUGGCGGACGGGUGAGUAAUGUCUGGGAAUCUAGCUGAUGGAGGGGGAUAACUACGGGAAACUGUAGCUAAUACCGCGUACCAUCGGAUGUGCCCAAGUGGGAUUAGCUAGUUGGUGAGGUAAAGGCUCACCAAGGCGACGAUCUCUAGCUGGUCUGAGAGGAUGACCAUCCACACUGGUACUGAGACACGGCCCAGCCUCCUACGGGAGGCAGCAGUGGAGAAUAUUGCGCAAUGGGGGCAACCCUGACGCAGCCAUGCCGCGUGUAUGAAGAAGGCCUUCGGGUUGUAAAGUUCUUUCGGCGGGGGGGCGUUACCCGCAGAAGAAGCACCGGCUAACUCCGUGCCAGCAGCCGCGGUAAUAC